AGGAUGGCUGGCAUGGUGCUGGGAGUGGGUGCUGGCGUGUUCCUCCUCGCUCUGCUCUGGGUGUUGGUGCUGCUGCUGUGUGUGCUGUUAUGCAGAGCCUCUGGGAUAGCUAGGUUCUCCAUCAUCUUCGUCUUCCUGGGUGCUCUGAUCAUCACCACAGUUCUAUUGCUUUUCCCUCGAGCCAGUGAAUUCCCGGCCCCACAAGGUGAAAUGAAGAUUGUGGAUGCCUUUUUCAUCGGCCGCUAUGUCCUGCUGGCUUUUCUCAGUGCUGUCUUUCUUGGAGGCCUCUUCCUGCUUCUUACUCAUCAUGUGCUGGAGCCAAUCUAUGCCAAGCCACUGAGGUCCUGCUGAGCGUGGUAACGGAAGCACGGGACAUGUUGGCAUCAUGGAUGAUAAGCACAAAGGCACUCUCCGGAGCCUCGGCCACCUUCAUGUCUUCAGACUAGAGGAAUAAUGGCUCCUUCUGCCUCAGCCUUCUUGGGUACUAGAAUUGCAGAUGUGUCCCCACCCCCCCCCCAAUAUCCCUGCCUCUGUGUUUUCAUCUUGAAAACUCUUUCUCCAAAAUUAUUAAGGAAUGUAUAUUCUCAGCUUAUAGGAUGACGUCACAUUUGUCUAACUCCCAAGAUCAAUAAAAUUUGUCAAUAAAUGG
rnacentral:lncRNA from 1 species